ensembl:lncRNA
GGAGGAGAGAGGAGAGGAGGAGAGGAGGAGUGGAGAGAAGAUGAGGAGGAGAGGAGAUGAGGAGAGGAGUGGAGAGUCUGUGUUGUACGCUAAGGCCUUUACAAAGGUAUUCAAUACAGUCAAAAACACACAACGAGCAACUUCUACCAGUCCAAUAAAACUACUGGAGAGAAACAGUUUGAUUAUUUUGGUUUCUAUAGAUACUAAAUGUAAGUAAAGACAUGAAGGUCCUCAUACAUCUCUGUUUUGAAGCUCCCACACGUUGUCAUCACAACUUAAAACAAUCAAUGGGGUAAAUCUAAACCACCGAUAGGUUACAUCAACCCCCCCCUCGCCCCCUCCCCUGCAGCGACCACAGACAGAGCGCCAUCUAGGGAGGUACGAAGAAGAAGAGUUGUGUUUACGACCACCGAUAGAGCGCCAUCUAGGGAGGUACGAAGAACAAGAGUUGUGUUUACGACCACCGAUAGGUUACAUCCACCCCCCUCGCCCCUCCCAUGCAGCGACCACAGACAGAGCGCCAUCUAGGGAGGUACGAAGAAGAAGAGUUGUGUUAACGACCACCGAUAGGUUACAUCAACCCCCCCUCGUCCCCUCCCCUGCAGCGACCACAGACAGAGCGCCAUCUAGGGAGGUACGAAGAAGAAGCCGAAACACAAAAAAAACACGAUUAUUAUUAUUGUUGUUGUUGUUUUUUGUUUACAGAUUUUUUUCCUCUCUCUUGACCACCAUCUGUGGCAAUGAGAGAGAUUGAAACAAGGUCAUAUAUAUAUAUAAAGAGAGAUCAUCAUCACAUUAUUAAUUUUAAAACAUUUUGACGUUGUGACACAGACAGAAUUAAGCCCCUCCUCCCCGUGUCUGUAGUCCUUGUGAUUGGCUACAAUAUGCAUAGAUACAGGGAUCAGCUUUAUGGUUCAGUCCCACUGACGUCACACACACACACACACACACACACACACACACACACACACACACUGGGAGGACAGUGGCGAGGAGGAGGAGGAAGCACGCCGAUUUCUCUACCUUUUCGUAAGACAGCAUUUUUGGGGGGGGGUGAAACCGCUGAGCUCUUCCAAGCAGGUACAAACUAACUCACACAACCAGAAGUCGUUUCAGUGCUAGAAGAUGGAUGCAUCCGACAAGGAGAGAAUCUGGGGAGACACUGGCUCCAUUUCAGGUCUAACCAGAACCACACCAGAACCACGGGUCAGGACACUGACCGACCCCACACCAGAUCUACAGUCCGGACACUGACC